AUGGAGGCCACGGUGCUAAGCAUUGGCAAGUCCGUGCUGAAUGGAGCGCUUAGCUACGCCAAAUCUGCUGUGGCAGGGGAGGUGGCUUUGCAGCUCGGAGUCCAGGGUGAUCAGGCUUUUAUCACGGACGAGCUUGAGAUGAUGCAAGCUUUCCUGGAGGCUGCACAUGAGGAGCGAGAUGACCACAAGGUGGUCAAGACCUGGGUGAAGCAAGUCCGCGAUGUUGCCUAUGAUGUUGAUGACUCCCUCCAGGAUUUCGCUGUUCGUAUUGAAAAAUAUUCCUGGUGGCACAUUCGCACGCUGCUAGACCGGCGCCGUGUGGCCAAGGAGAUGAAGGAUCUGAGAGUCAAAGUGGAGGAUGUGAGCCAAAGGAACGUGCGCUACCGCCUCAUCAGGCGCUCUGGCUCCAAUCCUACCUCCAAUGAUGAACAUGCUAUCAUCAGCACCGAAGUACAACUUCAGAUCGCUGAGGCUACGCGUGCUGCACUGCAGGACAAGAAAAAGGUGAAUCUGGUCAAACUGAUCACUCGAGAUGAAAAUGUUCCUAGUGCCAUUGCAGUGUGGGGAGCAAGCAGUGAUGUUGGGGUCGCAUCCAUUAUUAGGGCAGCCUACAAUAAUCAAGAUGUAAAAGCCAAAUUUGAGUGCCGAGCCUGGAUAAGGCUCACACAUCCCUUCAAUCCAAAUGACUUCUUUGCAAGCUUGGUGAGGCAGUUUUAUGCGGAGUCAUGCAAAGACAAUGUUUUGAAGCAGAUGGAAGCACGUGAUAAUUUGGUUGAUGAUUUCAAUCGGUUUGUGACGGACAAUAGAUAUCUGGUUGUUAUUAAUGGUGUCUCUACUAUAGAAGAGUGGGAUUGGAUCAAAACAUACUUCCCGAACAACAAAGGAAGCCAAAUUAUUGUGUCCACUUAGACUUUUGAAGUUGCAAGUUUAUGCACUGAGCAGCCUUAGAUGCUAUCUGAGAUAGAGCAGAACUGGUCAAUCGACAAGGAAUUUUUUGCCUUCUAUAAGAAGGUAAACAUCCUCUUCCUCAAAAUGAGAGAAUUGUGA
rnacentral:rRNA from 1 species